rnacentral:rRNA from 1 species
UACGGAGGGGGCAAGCGUUGUUCGGAAUUACUGGGCGUAAAGGGCGCGUAGGCGGUCUGUCGCGUCAGGUGUGAAAGCCCCGGGCUCAACCUGGGAGGUGCACUUGAUACGGGCAGGCUCGAGUCCGAGAGAGGUGGGUGGAAUUCCCAGUGUAGAGGUGAAAUUCGUAGAUAUUGGGAAGAACACCAGUGGCGAAGGCGGCUCACUGGCUCGGAACUGACGCUGAGGCGCGAAAGCGUGGGGAGCAAACAGG